rnacentral:misc_RNA from 1 species
UUUUAGCCCCGAUUGAACGGCAUGUUUGAGCUCUCCCAAUGCAUUUGAUUGGGAAGCGAGUAGUGAAAGCGGGUAGGUUU